AUGCCCACUUCAGCAACACAUAUACUAACAUUGGAAUGAUGUAGAGAUUAGCAUGGCCCCUACUCAAGGAUGACAUGCAAAUUCAUGAAGUAAUCCAUAUAUUU
ensembl:snRNA U6 U6 spliceosomal RNA